GCACGCUAGUGUGACUUCUGAGACUGAGCUCAGAGGCAAGGACUCGUUCUUCAGGUGUUCCUUCUCAAGGGGAACUCUCCUCCAAGUGGUACUUCAGAGAUGUGAUUCCCUCCACUCUUGAGACUUAAAUCACUUUCAAGUCUUUUUGCAGUGCUCUGGCUCCAAUGAAUGUCUGCCUUUCUCAUUAACUGGACUUCCAUAUGUGGUAUGGGAUGACCUAAGCUGUGGAGGGCAGCGAGCUGACCAGAACAAAGGUCAGAUUGUAAUCUCUAAGCAUCAAAUCUAUUUUUUGUCCACACUCUCAACAUGCACUUCCUACCACCAAAUAAAAGGUAGAAGAAAGAACAACAACAUAAAACUGUAACAACAAAAAGUUGUGAUGUGAAAUAAAGCCCUGGAAAUGUCCAUCUGCUGUUAUCAAAGCGUUUAGGACUAAAAUCUUCACCACUAAUUCCUGUUUGGCUGUGAUGGUGUGCAGGACAGCCCUAGGGAAAUCUGUAACGGGGGAGCUGGAGACACAUGACCUGUUAAGUAGACCAUCACCAAAACGGAAUGCAUGCUUAUUUUAUUUGUAGAUACAGUAAGUCCAAGUUUGCAUAAUAAUUUUUUUAAGGGAGAGAAAUAAUUUGUAAGAGAUAAAGUCAUUGGUUUUGAACACUAUGUUUUGUCCAUUUGGUUGUUUGUAGUGGCCAAAUUUACAAAAGUGCAAAACUUAAAACAAUAAAAACAACUCUCAUUAAAAUCACUUGGAAGAUAUACAAUCUUCCAGAAGAGCCCCUGUGUUUUCCUUUAAGUUAGACAACAAGUGGGGAGAAGUAGGUUUGUUGUCCUGGAAUACAUGGUAGCAGAGGUGGAGUUUAAGGCUGAAGUUUGAAGCGUUUGAUUCUUAUCAAUUGUGUAGAGCAAAGUGGAAAUAAAUUGUGCAUUGAUUUCAAGUGAAUUAGUUUCCUGAGCUCUCUGGAGGCUUGGAUGAUUUUAAUAGUGGAAUUCUGAUGCUCUCCAACACCAGCAAAGACAAAAAACAUACAAACCAUGGCUAAGAUUGGAGAACUCUUAACUACAAUGAAAUUUUUAGACAUCUUAUUUUAAACAGCACUGGCCUGAAAAAUCUGGGAGAUUUCAUUAUAAUGUUCAGAUCUGUUUCCUGGUAAAGGUAACUGCAUGACUGACAGUGAAAUCAGAAUGAAAAAUGAGGAUAGAGCAGGAAAGAUA